UCAAUGGGUCUGGGUGGAGUCUAUAAUUCUACAUUUCUUACAAGCUCCUGGGUGACACUGGUGCUCCGAUUGUGUGGACCACACCUCCAGAAGCAAAGAUCUACACAUAAUUUUCAAAUUCUGUGUAGUAACUUAAGUUUCUCAAAUCACUUUGUUCACUUUGAAUCCCCCUAAUAUCUGCUUUGUGCUGUUCUUAAGGCACAUUUAGCAGAUUGCAUCUUAUUAUAGCUGUGGUAUACAUCAAAAGAAAUCUCCCUGAAGACAGAAGCCCCAGAUAAUACUAGACAUGUGGAAGGAUAUACUACAUUUUCUGUUCAACGAUGGAGGAAAUUGAAUCUCCAUGACAUUCAACAGCUUCUCAAGCUCUCACAGCCAGUGUUUCUGGCAGCUGGAGAAGUUCAGGGCAUGGAGUACCCAAGGUGAAAGAAAUGGCCUGACUUUUCAAGAGCCAGCCUCCAGGAGCACAUGGAAAUGAGAAUGUCUGAGCUCAGAGAGAAAGGAACCGUGGAGGACCCUCGACACAGCUAUGUGGAACAGAAAGGGGCCCUUCACCUAAUUCACGAGGCAUUUCUGACACCACUGUGCCUACCAGGAGGCUCUGAAUAUGACCUGUGAUUACAUUUAUCUAAUUAACCAAAAACCCUCCCGAAUGACACUUCUGCAAGUCUAAAAAGUGGUGUUAAUGAAGUGGAAACCAUCAAAAACACUUCAGCUUAAUCCUAGGGAAACAGUUGAUGAGGCGCUACAGAGACCCAGGAUUAUUGCCCUCAUUAAAAGAGUGACCCUGAGCUAGAUCUGGAUGUGCACCCCCUGAUCGCCCUUCAGGGAAGGAAAAGUUGCCACCAGUGGGGCAGGCCACGCGCCAUGACAGAGCAAGGAGGAAACAAAGGUUUGACCAUUUGGGCCCAACUUAGGACAAGGUGGAUGGGUAGCACUGGCCCCAGAGCUCCUGCCAGGAGGUAUCCGGUGUGCACAGCAGUUCAGCCUCUGCGCAAGCCGACCUCUCUUCUCCUGUCACAGGUACUGAUCCCUAAUAUACAUCUCAAAGCUCCUACCGGGCAUCUCAGAGUCGGCCUCCAGAGACCCUGAACUGGAGCAGAUGUCCUCCAGAGGUGGCUUGACCAGAGAUGCCUGGUGUUUUGUGUUUUCACAACGUUUAAGACCCUCGCAGCUCUUUACCCCCAUAGCUGCCCCUGGGAAUUAGGUGUUUCCACCUGACACGUGCCUACCACAGAAACCACUUCUUUCCCCCCAUGUUUGAGAUGUCCUCUAGGCAAUACCUUCUUCUGCUUGCCUAAAAGCUGAAUUUCUGGCAAGAAAGAGAACAACAGUGGUAUGCUGUGAGCUGACAGACUUUAGGAGCAAAGAACCCUCAGAUUUGAUGAUUUGGGUUCCGAACUCCCCACUGCAAGGUUGAACAGAGAAGACAUUACUCAGUGGUACUCUGUGUUCUACUUCCCCCCUCUUCUGCAUCAAUGAUCUCAUUAACUAAUCAAUCACAAGCUGGGAAUUUCUAAAGGCCUUUGUGCCAAACGGCAAAAUCAGGCAGUAGGGUCAGGCAAUGGGGCAACUGUCGAGUGGGUCACCUGUACCCCUGGCACUCUUCCAGGCGUGGGGUGGGCGGGGAGGGUAGAACUGAGGUCUAAUAAGAUCGUGUGUGUGGAAGCAUUUAGUACUGUGUCUGCAGGCAGUAGGCGCUCAGAGAAUGUGCCCUUAGCUUGUCCUUCCUUCCUAAGGUGCCACAUCACAAGAGGUUAUCAGGAGUUAAGUCUCUACUGCUGGGAUCGAUUUUGCUUGCUGAUCCUGGACACUCCUCUGUGGAAAUGAGCAGAGAAGGCUGACUGCGGUGGGAAGCACAGCUUCAUGAUGUGUGAGGGUUGGAGAUUAUCUGAGUCCUGAGACAUUGGCUACACAGGACUUACGUGAGAACCUUCUUGCUAUGCCUUUAUUCCUGAAGCCCGACCUACUUCUGAGUUAUCUCUACCCUGAAGUCUGCAGCUUCUGAGAAUGCAGGUGUUGAGCUGGCAACAGGUAGGGGAAAGUUGGCUUUCAAUACAGUCCUCUCCUUGGGCAGACAUUCCAGAACGAGCCCCAUCCUAUCACACUAUAGCAAAUACAGAUAAAACACUCCCCAACCCAAGGAAGAAAACAUUUCAAUGGCAAUAAAAUGAAGUUACAAGACUACCAAGAUUAAAUCAUAACGUACAGUGCUCUGGCAUAAAUAAUAACAGCAGCUCAUAGUUUUGAGUAUUUACUGUAUCAGGCACUGUGCUGAGUAUAAAACACAUAAACAUUAUCUCAUGUAGCCCUUACCAUAACCCUGUUAGGUAAAUAUCAUAAUAGUCCCCACUUUCCAGAUGAGGAAAUCGAGGCUUUGGAGAACAGUUAGAAGAAGCCAGGUAAGGAUGAUCUAGGGAAUGGCAAACUGCUUUGGGGGUCUUUCAGGGCUGGAGAAAUGUGACUGAGGGACACCCUAACCCAAUCUGGGAGGUAUUUGCCAGGUAGAGACAGGACAAUCUGCAGAAGGGACAGGGUCAGGGAAGUUCCAGGAAACAGAAUAUAAUGGAGCAGUCACAGAAUUGAACUGCAGCUCAGGAUUUCUGUGUGUAUGGAUGGGUGGAGACAGGAGUGUGCCCUGGAGAAGUCAGCAGAGAAUGGAUUCUGGAGGGCCUUGAACAUGAUCUGGAGGGCGGUGGGGGUAGGAAGGACCCUGAAGCAGAAGGAUGGCAGAGGCAGAUUUCUGCUUUAGACAGACCCCUCUGGUAGCCUUGUAGAGGGAAGAAGGGCUGGUGGCUGAGGGCCGGGGUUGGAUGCUACACACCAGAGAUGAAGGGGGUCUGCGCCCAGGUAGCCUGAGGUAGGUACCAAGAGGGAGAGAUGAGACAUAUCCAGGAGUUGACAUUGUCAGUGUUUAGUAUGUGACGUGGUGGGUGGAGUGGGGGUGGGGAGGACAAGGGGGUGUUAAGGAAAACAUCCCAGCAGAGAAAGGAAGACAGGUUUGAAGGAGGAGGACACAUUCCAUUUGAACAAGCUGAUUCUGAGGUGCCUGAGGACAUCUUGGUGGAGACAUUCCAUAGGCAGCCAAUUCUCCAGGGCUCAGGAGGUGGUUGUCCCCAUUCCAGGCAUUUGAGGCUCACCUACCCAGGGCCUCAUGGUGAGAGAGUUUCUCAGCUGGGUCUCUGCCUUCAGAGUCCCUUCAAUUUCCAAGAUUCCUCGGUGAAUCUUUCUCCCACAUGAGAAGGCUACAUCAUCCAGGAGCCUUCUCCUACAGCUCAGAAAAGAAGUAAGCCCCCAGAUCUGAGAUCCCUGGAGACACAUGUCCUUCUGAUGGGAGGUUGGAAGACUCAGUGCCCAAGCCUUUCCCAUGGAAAGCCCUGGGUCUGGCUUUGACUCAGAAACCCUCCGUCUCCCCCAACCUCCCUCUGGAAUCUAUCAGAUUGGGGGAGCUGAAGGAAUUGAAUCAAUGCCCAGCUCAUUUUUUUUUUUUUUUAAAAACCUGACUAGCACAUUCCCUGCAUGAGCUGACUGUCACAUGUUGGGUAGAUUCUCUGCAUUUCAUUACUUAGUGUUCUCUUAUAGAAUAAAAGACUGACUUGGAUAGUCAAGCUCCCACAAGCUAUUUAGGAAGGAAAGAGGCCCCUAAAACUAGAUGGUUGGGACAAAAUUAUUCUCUGGGGGCGGGGGAUAGAGGCAUUGGCUAGGAAAUUAGAAGAACUAAGAUUUAAUUUCAGUUCUGUUGCUAAUAAGCAGUGUGACUUUGGGUUAAACAGCUUCUACAGUUUCAGUUUCCUUUUCUGUAAAUGGGCAUGGGGUGCUGCAGACCAGGGAUCUGCUGCCUUCAGUGUGCAUUAGAAUCACCUGGGGGGCUUGUUAAAUCAGAGAUGGCUGGGCCCCACCCCAGAAUUGGAUUCAAUAGGUCUCAGGUGGGACCCAAAAUUUACAUUUCCAGUAAGUUCCCAGGUAAUUCUGCUGCUCUGGGGACCCCACUGUGAGAACCCAUUUGACCGUCUCUAAAUCCUUGCUAAUCAAUAUAUUGUUCUCAGACCAACAUCAUCAACAUCAUCUGGAAGCUUUUUAAAAAACAUAAAAUCUGGGGCCCUACUUAGUCCUACAGAAUUAGACUCUGCAUGAAAACAAGAUUCCCAGGUGAUUCUUUUGCACAUUAAAAUGUGAAA